CCACGGUGCUGAAGCAACAAAUGCCCUGCUUCCAGGAAAAGCCUCUAAGCAUCAGGUAACAUCAAAUCGUACCCCAAACCGACACAGGUGGUCAGGUAGAGAAUACCAAGGCGCUUGAGAGAACUCGGGUGAAGGAACUAGGCAAAAUGGUGCCGUAACUUCGGGAGAAGGCACGCUGACACGUAGGUGAAGUGAUUUACUCAUGGAGCUGAAGUCAGUCGAAGAUACCAGCUGGCUGCAACUGUUUAUUAAAAACACAGCACUGUGCAAACACGAAAGUGGACGUAUACGGUGUGACGCCUGCCCGGUGCCGGAAGGUUAAUUGAUGGGGUCAGCGCAAGCGAAGCUCCUGAUCGAAGCCCCGGUAAACGGCGGCCGUAACUAUAACGGUCCUAAGGUAGCGAAAUUCCUUGUCGGGUAAGUUCCGACCUGCACGAAUGGCGUAAUGAUGGCCAGGCUGUCUCCACCCGAGACUCAGUGAAAUUGAACUCGCUGUGAAGAUGCAGUGUACCCGCGGCAAGACGGAAAGACCCCGUGAACCUUUACUAUAGCUUGACACUGAACAUUGAGCCUUGAUGUGUAGGAUAGGUGGGAGGCUUUGAAGCGUGGACGCCAGUCUGCGUGGAGCCGACCUUGAAAUACCACCCUUUAAUGUUUGAUGUUCUAACGUGGACCCGUGAUCCGGGUUGCGGACAGUGUCUGGUGGGUAGUUUGACUGGGGCGGUCUCCUCCUAAAGAGUAACGGAGGAGCACGAAGGUUGGCUAAUCCUGGUCGGACAUCAGGAGGUUAGUGCAAUGGCAUAAGCCAGCUUGACUGCGAGCGUGACGGCGCGAGCAGGUGCGAAAGCAGGUCAUAGUGAUCCGGUGGUUCUGAAUGGAAGGGCCAUCGCUCAACGGAUAAAAGGUACUCCGGGGAUAACAGGCUGAUACCGCCCAAGAGUUCAUAUCGACGGCGGUGUUUGGCACCUCGAUGUCGGCUCAUCACAUCCUGGGGCUGAAGUAGGUCCCAAGGGUAUGGCUGUUCGCCAUUUAAAGUGGUACGCGAGCUGGGUUUAGAACGUCGUGAGACAGUUCGGUCCCUAUCUGCCGUGGGCGCUGGAAGACUGAGGGGGGCUGCUCCUAGUACGAGAGGACCGGAGUGGACGCAUCACUGGUGUUCGGGUUGUCAUGCCAAUGGCACUGCCCGGUAGCUAAAUGCGGAAAAGAUAAGUGCUGAAAGCAUCUAAGCACGAAACUUGCCCCGAGAUGAGUCUUCCCUGAGACUUUGAGUCUCCUGAAGGAACGUUAAAGACGAUGACGUUGAUAGGCCGGGUGUGUAAGCGCAGCGAUGCGUUGAGCUAACCGGUACUAAUGAACCGUGAGGCUUAACCUU
rnacentral:rRNA from 2 species